CCUUCUUCCUCCGCCCAGCCGCCACAGUAAUUUGUCGUCAAGUCUGCCACAGGAGGAUAUUUUAUUCUGGGUUAACCUGCUUUUAUCCUUCGCAGGUUGUUUAUCCAUGUUUGUGUAAUUUUAAUUACUCCUAGAAUUUCCGCAUGUGUUAGCAGUAUUUAUUUGAAUUUGGUCUGUAAUAUUUUUAUCAUGUUGGACCUGUAAACUUAAAUAUUUUAAGUCUGUUUGAUGGAUUGGAUGAGGGAGCUGAGCUCCCAUUUAUU